rnacentral:rRNA from 1 species
UACAGAGGGGGCAAGCGUUGUUCGGAAUUACUGGGCGUAAAGGGCGCGUAGGCGGCCUGCUAAGUCGAACGUGAAAUCCCUGGGCUCAACCCAGGAACUGCGUCCGAUACUGGUUGGCUUGAAUCCGGGAGAGGGACGUGGAAUUCCAGGUGUAGCGGUGAAAUGCGUAGAUAUCUGGAGGAACACCGGUGGCGAAGGCGACGUCCUGGACCGGUAUUGACGCUGAGGCGCGAAAGCCAGGGGAGCAAAGCGGGAUUAGCAAACCCGGG